rnacentral:rRNA from 1 species
GACGAACGCUGGCGGCGUGCUUAACACAUGCAAGUCGAACGGAAAGGCCCUGCUUGCAGGGUACUCGAGUGGCGAACGGGUGAGUAACACGUGGGUGAUCUGCCCUGCACUUCGGGAUAAGCCUGGGAAACUGGGUCUAAUACCGGAUAGGAGCCAUUUUUAGUGUGAUGGUUGGAAAGUUUUUUUCGGUGUAGGAUGAGCUCGCGGCCUAUCAGCUUGUUGGUGGGGUAAUGGCCUACCAAGGCGGCGACGGGUAGCCGGCCUGAGAGGGUGGACGGCCACAGUGGGACAUAGAGACGGCCCGGGCGCCCGCGGGGGGCAGGAGGGGGGAAGGUUGCACGAUGGGCGCAAGGCUGAUGCAGCGGCUCCGCGGGGGGGAUGACUUCCUUCGGGUUGUAAAAUCAUUUAGCGAGGGACGAAGCUUUUUGUGACGGUACCUAGAUAAGAAGCACCGGCUAACUACGUG